rnacentral:rRNA from 1 species
AACGAACGCUGGCGGCAGGCCUAACACAUGCAAAUCGAGCGAAGCCUUCGGGUUUAGCGGCGGACGGGUGAGUAACGCGUGGGAAUAUGCCCUUUGGUACGGAACAGUCCCGGGAAACUGGGUUUAAUACCGUAUGUGGUCCUUCGUAGUGGAUACGGGGGACGAAAGAUUUAUCGCCAAAGGAUUGGCCCGCGUUGGAUUAGGUAGUUGGUGGGUAACGGCCUACCAAGCCGACGAUCCAUAGCUGGUUUGAGAGGAUGAUCAGCCACACUGGGACUGAGACACGGCCCAGACUCCUACGGGAGGCAGCAGUGGGGAAUCUUAGACAAUGGGGGCAACCCUGAUCUAGCCAUGCCGCGUGAGUGAUGAAGGCCUUAGGGUUGUAAAGCUCUUUCAGCUGGGAAGAUAAUGACGGUACCCGCAGAAGAAGCCCCGGCUAACUCCGUG